UUGAUGGAUACAAACAGUGGGAGUCCUCCUCAAGGUGGAGAGCCUGCAAUGGAUGCAGGAGAUUGGAGGUGCCAAUUGCAGGUGGAUUCGCGGCAAAGAAUUGUCAUUAAGAUAAUGGAUACAUUGAAGAGGCAUAUUCCUUACUCGAUCUAGUGAAGAUGAACUCAAGAAAAUUGCUGUUAGGUUUGAGGAAAAGAUUUAUGUGGCUGCCACAAGUCAGUCAGAUUAUCUACGGAAAAUUUCUCUAAAGAUGCUCACUAUGGACACCAAGUCUCAGAACACAAUGGUGAAUUCUUUACAAU